ACACGGGAAGGAGGUGGUCCGAUAAAUGAGUGACAUACGGACGAGUGAGGUGGCGGCGGCCUAGCCGUUCGACCAGGACGCGGCGUGAUCCGCCCGGUCGAGAGGCCGGCUAAUCCACAGCCAACACCCGAACCCGCGAGUGCCGGACCGUCCAUCCGGCCGACCGCACAGCUCCACCGGAGCCCGGUUGACAAGCUCGCGGGUUUGUCCAU
rnacentral:sRNA from 1 species